rnacentral:rRNA from 1 species
GAGGAAUAUUGCGCAAUGGGCGAAAGCCUGACGCAGCAACGCCGCGUGAAGGAUGACGGUCUUCGGAUUGUAAACUUCUGUUAAGUGGGAAGAAAAAUCCGUCUCUAAUACAGACGGUAAUGACGGUACCAUUAGAGAAAGCACCGGCUAACUUCGUGCCAGCAGCCGCGGUAAUACGAGGGGUGCAAGCGUUAUUCGGAAUUAUUGGGCGUAAAGGGUGCGUAGACGGCAUAUUAAGUCAACUGUUAAAUUCCUCGGCCUAACUGGGGACCAGCGGUAGAUACUGAUGUGCUAGAGGAUGGAAGAGAGAAGUGGAAUUCUCGGAGUAGCGGUAAAAUGCGUAGAUCUCGAGAGGAACACCGAUGGCGAAGGCAGCUUCUUGGUCCAUUUCUGACGUUGAGGCACGAAAGCGUGGGGAGCAAAC